rnacentral:rRNA from 1 species
CGGACGGGUGAGUAAUGCUUGGGAAUCUAGCUUAUGAGGGGGAUAACUACUGGAAACGGUAGCUAAUACCGCAUAACGUCGCAAGACCAAAGAGGGGGACCUUAGGGCCUCUUGCCAUCGGAUGUGCCCAGAUGGGAUUAGCUAGUAGGUGGGGUAACGGCUCACCUAGGCGACGAUCCCUAGCUGGUCUGAGAGGAUGACCAGCCACACUGGAACUGAGACACGGUCCAG